CCUACGGGAGGCUGCAGUGGGGAAUAUUGCGCAAUGGGCGAAAGCCUGACGCAGCGACGCCGCGUGAGGGAUGAAGGUCUUCGGAUCGUAAACCUCUGUCAGCAGGGAAGAACGGUCACUGUGCUAAUCAGCACAGAAUUGACGGUACCUGCAAAGGACGCACCGGCUAACUCCGUGCCAGCAGCCGCGGUAAUACGGAGGGUGCGAGCGUUAAUCGGAAUUAGUGGGCGUAAAGCGCUCGUAGGCGGUAUGUCAAGUCAAGGGUGAAAUCCCCGCGCUCAACGUGGGAACUGCAUUUGAAACUGGCAAACUGGAGUGUGUGAGAGGAUAGUGGAAUUCCAGGUGUAGGAGUGAAAUCCGUAGAUAUCUGGAGGAACAUCAGUGGCGAAGGCGACUAGCUGGAACAUAACUGACGCUGAGGAGCGAAAGCGUGGGUAGCAAACAGGAUUAGAUACCCUGGUAGUC
rnacentral:rRNA from 1 species